AACGAACGCUGGCGGCAUGCCUAACACAUGCAAGUCGAACGAGACCUUCGGGUUUAGUGGCGCACGGGUGCGUAACGCGUGGGAACCUGCCCUUAGGUUCGGAAUAACUCCCCGAAAGGGGUGCUAAUACCGGAUAAUGUCUUCGGACCAAAGAUUUAUCGCCUUUGGAUGGGCCCGCGUUGGAUUAGCUAGUUGGUAGGGUAAAAGCCUACCACGGCGACGAUCCAUAGCUGGUCUGUGAGGAUGAUCAGCCACACUGGGACUGAGACACGGCCCAGACUCCUACGGGAGGCAGCAGUGGGGAAUAUUGGACAAUGGGCGAAAGCCUGAUCCAGCAAUGCCGCGUGAGUGAUGAAGGCCUUAGGGUUGUAAAGCUCUUUUACCCGGGAUGAUAAUGACAGUACCGGGAGAAUAAGCUCCGGCUAACUCCGUG
rnacentral:rRNA from 1 species